rnacentral:rRNA from 1 species
CCUACGCGGCGCAGCAGUGGGGAAUAUUGGACAAUGGGCGAAAGCCUGAUCCAGCCAUGCCGCGUGUGUGAAGAAGGCCUUCGGGUUGUAAAGCACUUUCAGUGGGGAAGAAAGCCUUGGGGCUAAUACCCUCGAGGAAGGACAUCACCCACAGAAGAAGCACCGGCUAACUCCGUGCCAGCAGCCGCGGUAAUACGGAGGGUGCGAGCGUUAAUCGGAAUUACUGGGCGUAAAGCGCGCGUAGGCGGUCUGAUAAGCCGGUUGUGAAAGCCCCGGGCUCAACCUGGGAACGGCAUCCGGAGCUGUCAGGCUAGAGUGCAGGAGAGGAAGGUAGAAUUCCCGGUGUAGCGGUGAAAUGCGUAGAGAUCGGGAGGAAUACCAGUGGCGAAGGCGGCCUUCUGGACUGACACUGACGCUGAGGUGCGAAAGCGUGGGUAGCAAACAGGAUUAGAUACCCCGGUAGUC